CCAUAGGCCACAGUCCCACACGGUGGCGGACGCGGGCGUGCUAGGGUUGAGCGGCUACACGAGCGUGCUAGGGUUGAGCGGGGCUCCGCGGGCGUGCUAAGGUUUCGCGAGCAUGGCGGUGGCCGGCGAGCAGGUGAGGGCUCCCGCCUCUAAUUCCCUCCCGAGCUCCUCGAGCGGCCAAGCGUCUGUGUGUGGCCGUGUGGGCGAACCACAUGCGCCAGCCACCGUGCGCCCUGGGUGAGCACGUGAGGCCAGAGGAGAAGCGCAUGUACAAGCAGCUGCGCCAGUUUAGCGCGAGACUGCAGGGUAGUAGGCAAGCCGCGAGCGUGUGACUGCAGCUGCUAGCCAAGUGAGCGUGCCACUACAGGACAGCAAACAACGACGACAGCAAGCAAAUGAUCCGUUCAGCAUGUGCUCCCUAUUCGAAGUCCCCUGGGAUCAUGUCCAGACUCACACUGGGCUCGUUGCUCGGCCUUGUUGAGCUAGAGAUCCUCCAACACAGCGGCACCGACACCAAGGCUCAGGCUAGUACGAUCUGAAUCCCUAUCCAUUCCCUGUUGUUACCUCGUUGUGCUCGAUCUGGUUACUGUCCUAUGUGCGGGUUUGUUAUAUUGGUAGUAGGGAUCACAUUGGUGUGGCUGGUUACAUGAAGGAAUGGAGAUGAGAACGUCAUAUACUCUAUCGUAUUCUCAAGUACCUCUGUAAUUUUGAACAUUAGAGCGUCUUUGGUGUAUGGUGGUGAAUUUUUUUCUCGCUCGUAUCGGAAGUCUGCUAGAUUUUGUAAGUGGCAAUAAUGAUAGUGAGGAUAAAAUGUGAUGGUAACACUAACAUUGACAUAUUUUUUACAUG
rnacentral:lncRNA from 7 species